rnacentral:rRNA from 1 species
AUUGAACGCUGGCGGUAGGCCUAACACAUGCAAGUCGAACGGCAGCACAGAGGAGCUUGCUCCUUGGGUGGCGAGUGGCGGACGGGUGAGGAAUACAUCGGAAUCUACUCUGUCGUGAGGGAUAACGUAGGGAAACUUACGCUAAUACCGCAUACGACCUACGGGUGAAAGCAGGGGACCUUCGGGCCUUGCGCGAUUGAAUGAGCCGAUGUCGGAUUAGCUAGUUGGCGGGGUAAAGGCCCACCAAGGCGACGAUCCGUAGCUGGUCUGAGAGGAUGAUCAGCCACACUGGAACUGAGACACGGUCCAGACUCCUACGGGAGGCAGCAGUGGGGAAUAUUGGACAAUGGGCGCAAGCCUGAUCCAGCCAUACCGCGUGGGUGAAGAAGGCCUUCGGGUUGUAAAGCCCUUUUGUUGGGAAAGAAAUCCAGCUGGCUAAUACCCGGUUGGGAUGACGGUACCCAAAGAAUAAGCACCGGCUAACUUCGUGCCAGCAGCCGCCGCCG